rfam:Oryza barthii chromosome 11, whole genome shotgun sequence.
GAUAUCAACUGAAAAAGUCAUCAACAACAAAUUUGAAUAACUCAUCAAGAUCUAAAACUUUUAUUUUGGUCAUUUCUUUAUACAACAAAGUGAUAGUAACAUUAUUCACAAAAUUGACAUAUCUCUUAUCUGGUUUUAUAAACUAUAACACAUAUAUGUAAAAUUUGUGAAUAAUGUUAUUAACAUUUUGUCAGAUGAAGAAAUAACAAAAAUAAAAGUUUUAGAUCUUGAUGAGUUAUUCAACUUUGUUGUUGAUGACUUUUUCAAUUGAAAUC